UUAGUACUCCAGACGGUCGCGGGAAAUGAUUACAUUUCGUGAGGAAAGUCCGAGCUUCGCAGGGCAGGGUGCUAGGUAACUCCUAGCGGAAGCGAUUCCAGGGACAGUGCAACAGAAAGCAAACGGCGCAUUCGGCUUGUCCGCGCGCGCAAAGGUGAAACGGCGAGGUAAGAGCUCACCGGCGAUUAGGCGACUAAUCGGCUAUGUAAACCCCACCUGAAGCAACACCGACCGAGAGGGUUGCCCGCCCGAAACGCGGGAACAGAACGGCAAAAUUGCCGUUUUGCUACCGCGUUUCACUCUCGAAGGGUGGCUAAAGCUAUGGCGAAAUCCAUGGCGUAGAUAGAUGACCGUCCAAUACAGAACUCGGCUUACAGGAGUGCUAAGAAA
rnacentral:RNase_P_RNA from 1 species